rnacentral:rRNA from 1 species
UACCAGCACCCCGAGGUGGUCGGGACGUUUAUUGGGCCUAAAGCAUCCGUAGCCGGUUCUACAAGUCUUCCGUUAAAUCCAACUGCUUAACAGGGUGGGCUGCGGAAGAUACUAUAGAGCUAGGAGGCGGGAGAGGCAAGCGGUACUCGAUGGGUAGGGGUAAAAUCCGUUGAUCCAUUGAAGACCACCAGUGGCGAAGGCGGCUUGCCAGAACGCGCUCGACGGUGAGGGAUGAAAGCUGGGGGAGCAAACCGG